UGAGUGGAUGGGAGCAACCUAGUUGUGAGUGUGGAAAGGUAGUGCCAAGAAAAGCUGUCAGAAUGAUGAGAAUUGAGUCCCGGUACCCGAAACCGACACAGGUAGGCAAGUAGAGAAUACUAAGGGGCGCGAGGUAACUCUCUCCAAGGAACUCGGCAAAAUGACCCCGUAACUUAGGGAGAAGGGGUGCCACCGAGAGGUGGUCGCAGUGAAGAGGCCCAGGCGACUGUUUAGCAAAAACAUAGGUCUCUGCAAACUCGAAAGAGGAAGUAUAGGGGCUGACGCCUGCCCAGUGCCGGAAGGUUAAAGAAGUUGGUCAGGAGAAAUCUGAAGCUGGCGACUGAAGCCCCGGUGAACGGCGGCCGUAACUAUAACGGUCCUAAGGUAGCGAAAUUCCUUGUCGGGUAAGUUCCGACCCGCACGAAAGGCGUAACGAUCUGGGCGCUGUCUCGGAGAGAGGCUCGGCGAAAUAGGAUUGUCUGUGAAGAUACGGACUACCUGCAUUUGGACAGAAAGACCCUAUGAAGCUUUACUGUAGCUUGAAAUUGUGUUCGGGCUUCCUGUGCGCAGGAUAGGUGGGAGGCGAGGAAGGUCUGCUUGUGGGCAGAUUGGAGCCAACCGUGAGAUACCACUCUCAGGAGGCUAGAAUUCUAACUUAAUUAAGGACAGUUUCAGGUGGGCAGUUUGACUGGGGCGGUCGCCUCCAAAAAGGUAACGGAGGCGUACAAAGGUUCCCUCACACUGGUUGGAAAUCAGUGGCAGAGUGCAAAGGCAGAAGGGAGCUUGACUGCGAGACGGACAAGUCGAGCAGGGUGGAAACACGGUCUUAGUGAUCCGACGGUGCUGUGUGGAAGGGCCGUCGCUCAACGGAUAAAAGUUACUCUAGGAUAACAGGCUGAUCUCCCCCAAGAGUUCACAUCGACGGGGAGGUUUGGCACCUCGAUGUCGGCUCAUCGCAACCUGGGGCGGAAGUACGUCCCAAGGGUUGGGCUGUUCGCCCAUUAAAGCGGUACGUGAGCUGGGUUCAGAACGUCGUGAGACAGUUUGGUCCAUAUCCGAUGUAGGCGUGAGAAUAUUGAGAGGAGCCUUCCUUAGUACGAGAGGACCAGGAAGGACGCACCUCUGGUGUACCUGUUAUGAUGCCAAUCGUAAACGCAGGGUAGCCAAGUGCGGAGAGGAUAACCGCUGAAAGCAUCUAAGUGGGAAGCCCACCUCAAGAUGAGUAUUCUGGUGUAAGGUCACGGGGAGACGACCCGUAGAUAGGCACGAGGUGGAAGUGCAGAGAUGUAUGAGGCCGAAGUGUACUAAUAGACCGUCGGCU
rnacentral:rRNA from 1 species